CCCUUAGACGUUCUGGGCCGCACGCGCGCUACACUGACACAGGCAACGAGCUUUCCUUUACCGAAAGGUAUGGGUAAUCUUUUGAAACUGUGUCGUGCUGGGGAUAGAUCCUUGCAAUUUUUGAUCUUAAACGAGGAAUUCCUAGUAAGCGCGAGUCACCAACUCGCGUUGAUUACGUCCCUGCCCUUUGUACACACCGCCCGUCGCUACUACCGAUUGAAUGGCUUAGUGAGGCCUCAGGAUCCGCGCUUAAUGUGUGGAGAAUUUGGACAAACUACGUCAUUUAGAGGAAGUAAAAGUCGUAACA
rnacentral:rRNA from 1 species